rnacentral:rRNA from 1 species
AGUGAACGCUGGCGGUAGGCCUAACACAUGCAAGUCGAACGGCAGCACAGUAAGAGCUUGCUCUUACGGGUGGCGAGUGGCGGACGGGUGAGGAAUACAUCGGAAUCUACUUUUUCGUGGGGGAUAACGUAGGGAAACUUACGCUAAUACCGCAUACGACCUACGGGUGAAAGCAGGGGAUCUUCGGACCUUGCGCGAUUGAAUGAGCCGAUGUCGGAUUAGCUAGUUGGCGGGGUAAAGGCCCACCAAGGCGACGAUCCGUAGCUGGUCUGAGAGGAUGAUCAGCAACACUGGAAAUGAGACACGGUCCAGACUCCUACGGGAGGCAGCAGUGGGGAAUAUUGGACAAUGGGCGCAAGCCUGAUCCAGCAAUACCGCGUGGGUGAAGAAGGCCUUCGGGUUGUAAAGCCCUUUUGUUGGGAAAGAAAAGCAGCAGGUUAAUACCCCGCUGUUCUGACGGUACCCAAAGAAUAAGCACCGGCUAACUUCGUG